UACGGAGGAUGCAAGCGUUAUCCGGAAUGAUUGGGCGUAAAGCGUCCGCAGGUGGCAAUGUAAGUCUGCUGUCAAAGCGUCUGGCUCAACCAGGUAAAGGCAGUGGAAACUACAUAGCUAGAGUAAGGUAGGGGUAGAGGGAAUUCCUGGUGUAGCGGUGAAAUGCGUAGAGAUCGGGAAGAACAUCGGUGACGAAAGCGCUCUACUGGACCGCAACUGACACUCAGGGACGAAAGCUAGGGGAGCGAAUGGG
rnacentral:rRNA from 1 species